GUUUUGAUAAAUCUCCCCCUGUGUACCUACAAGCUAUGUCUGUUCCCUGGAGGAUCUCCACUGUCCAUUCAUGAGUACCCCUUUAACAUCUGACGUUACAUCCCAGUGAACUAUUGCUACGCUUGAUGCCAAUAAGAAAAGUUGGAGAACCAAGGCUGAUAUAUCCAACAGAUCUGCAUCAAACCCCUGGAGUGCGGAGUUUCUAAAGCAGCUUGAUCAAAAUCGAUGUAUUUAGGAACCCAUGAAGCGUCUUCCCCUAUGUGACUUUCACAGAAGAUACGUUCGCUUUUGAAGGCUGAGAAGCUUUGAAGUAAAAGACGGCCGAGUCUUCAUCUGAUGUACGGUGCAAUCAAGAAAAUGGAUCAAAUGUGAUUCCGAUGUUAAGACACAAAGCCGCGGUAAUGAGCGGCGUCCAUCGGACCCGCCAUCGGGGAGCACGGACGACACGGACAUCAGGGAGACGUCGCCGUAAUUAGGGGGAGAGGGUCAAUCGGGA